CAAAUGAGAAACACAGCGAGACGCGUGUGCAACGACGCGAUUACCGAUGCGUGUCUCGCCGUGUUAUUUGCGUCUCGCUGUGUUGUCUGCGUCUC
rnacentral:pre_miRNA from 1 species